CCAGCCAGGAUCCCCCAAGGUGUGCAGAGGGCUCAGCAGAGAACAGUAUGGGACCCCCCUCACCAGGGCUGGAACACCUCCAGCCACAAAGAAGCAAAG
rnacentral:sRNA from 1 species